ACUAUCAGCCGGUUAUCGCUCCAUGAAAAUGGUGAGGAAAGUCCGGACAGCAGAGGGCAGCAUACCGGUUAAGCGCCGGCUUCCCUGUUCAGCAGGGAAAGAGAAAGUGCCACAGAAAAUAACUGUCCUGAGCAAUCGGGAUGAGGGUGAAAACGUGAGGUAAGAGCUCACGGUAAGUUUCAGUAAUGAGGCUUACGGGUAAACCUUAUGCGCUGUAAUGCCAUGUAAAUCAGUGUUGGAGGGCGGCUCGUCCGAAUCGUCGCAAGACGUGCGCUGAAGGGUAGGCAGCUAGAUUGUGUCAGCAAUGGCGCAGCAAGAUAAAUGAUGACCUCCGGAAUAUUAUUCCGGUUACAGAAUCCGGCUUAUGACUGAUAGAUUUU
rnacentral:RNase_P_RNA from 1 species